rnacentral:rRNA from 1 species
CCUACGGGAGGCAGCAGUGGGGAAUCUUGCGCAAUGGGCGAAAGCCUGACGCAGCCAUGCCGCGUGAAUGAUGAAGGUCUUAGGAUUGUAAAAUUCUUUCACCGGGGACGAUAAUGACGGUACCCGGAGAAGAAGCCCCGGCUAACUUCGUGCCAGCAGCCGCGGUAAUACGAAGGGGGCUAGCGUUGCUCGGAAUUACUGGGCGUAAAGGGAGCGUAGGCGGAUAGUUUAGUCAGAGGUGAAAGCCCAGGGCUCAACCUUGGAAUUGCCUUUGAUACUGGCUAUCUUGAGUACGGAAGAGGUAUGUGGAACUCCGAGUGUAGAGGUGAAAUUCGUAGAUAUUCGGAAGAACACCAGUGGCGAAGGCGACAUACUGGUCCGUUACUGACGCUGAGGCUCGAAAGCGUGGGGAGCAAACAGGAUUAGAUACCCUGGUAGUCCACGCUGUAAACGAUGAGUGCUAGUUGUCGGCAUGCAUGCAUGUCGGUGACGCAGCUAACGCAUUAAGCACUCCGCCUGGGGAGUACGGUCGCAAGAUUAAAAACUCAAAAUGAAUUGACGG